rnacentral:lncRNA from 1 species
GAGGAGCACUUCUUAAACCUCAGCUGUGGCCACAUGGGCAUACCCGGCGCCUCUGGAAGCAAGUUAGCACGUUAUUCCACUUGAAGGCUUACAGUUGGAGAGGAGCAUGCGGCGUUUUGAAUUGUAAAGGAAAUCCUAGCAGUCUGAGGGCAGAAGUAUAUCGAAAGCUCAAAAGCCAGGUUUAAUUAGGUGGCCGUGCAAAACCAUUAUUCCCCAUCACAAAAGCCGAGGAAGAGGAGCCAGAGUGAAAACAAUUGGCGCUUAUCGGCCGGCGGCCCGCCCCAGCCCAUGAGCCCAGCUGGAGCUCAGCCGGCCCUGCAUUCUGCAGGCAGCGUGCAGUUUUUGAAACUCCCCUCAAUGUUCCAGCCUUUAAAUAGCAGCGAGUCUUCUCAAACGAUGCUGCGUACUGCAGGAGAAAUUAAAGCGGCUGCCUUGGAGGCAGGAGGCCGACUAGCGAGCUGCUUAAUUAUCGUGGAAGUAAGUGCUUGUUACCGAUGAGCGGAGUGCAGCGAGCGCGGGUCGUCCCCGGGGCGUCUGCCGUGAUUUGUAGACAAUGCAGCCCUGUCAGCGCAGUGCUGGUUCAGCAGCAUCCUUCCAAACAUGUAUUUGGCAAGAAUUUAAAGGCCACCUCUUGUGUAAUCCGUGGAGCCCUGGAAAAGGGUCCUCUGCCUUUAUUUUCAGGAUGUACGCAACCACGCGGGGUUUUGCACUCAGCAUGCGUGCCUCUUGCCUCCCGACUGACGGGCUCACAAGGAAGUUGGUGUUCUUCACCCAUCACCUGCAAGGAUGCUAACACUUCUCUGUCGUCUGUCGGGGAAUAUGGACAGGGAAAGCAUGGGAUUAUGGCAAUCACAGAGUCCUCGUAAUACAAGUUUCAUUCAUUUUUUUCUGAAAGACAGCUGUCUGUUAAAGUGAAGCAAAGGAACUAUUGUGGAUUAUAAUGUUUUGAAGAUCUGGAUUGUCAGAGGUUUGGAAAUAAGGCAUCAUUUAACCUUUUAAAUGAAAAAGAUUAAGAUCUCAUGCAACUGCUAUAUUUUCUGGAAACCAUUCUCCAAAAGGGAAGUGCACAUUUAAAACUUAGAUAUGAUGGUCCUUUGUACAGGGAUUUG